CCUACGGGAGGCAGCAGUGGGGAAUAUUGGGCAAUGGGCGCAAGCCUGAACCAGCAAAGCCGCGUGAAGGAAGAAGGCUUUAGGGUUUUAAACUUCUUUUUAGAGGGCAGAGCAGAAAACGGUACCUCUUGAAUAAGCCACGGCGAACUACGUUCCAGCAGCCGCGGUAGUACGUAGGUGGCCAGCGUUGUCCGGAUUUACUGGGUGUAAAGGGUGUGUAGCCUGGCUGACAAGUCAGCUGUGAAAUUCCGGGGCUCAACCCCGGACCUGCAUUUGAAACUGGUGGUCUUGAGUAUCGGAGAGGCAGGCGGAAUUCGUAGUGUAGCGGUGAAAUGCGUAGAUAUUAGGAGGAACACCAGUGGCGAAGGCGGCCUGCUGGACGACAACUGACGGUGAGGCGCGAAAGCGUGGGGAGCAAACAGGAUUAGAUACCCUAGUAGUC
rnacentral:rRNA from 1 species